rnacentral:tRNA from 1 species
UCGGAAGUUCAAGUCUUCCCAGGCCCACCAUUUCAUCGAGCGCAUGCGUCUCUUAUUCAGCGUAUAGCAUUCGUCUUCUGGUUACGGGGCCAUAGCUCAGCUGGGAGAGCGCGUGCUUUGCAAGCAUGAGGUCGUCGGUUCGAUCCCGUCUGGCUCCACCAGAUGAAGUCGAAGAUCGACGCUGUGUGCUAUUGCAACCGUCGUCCAAUCGUCCGCGAAAACAUCGUUUCGCAUGCGAGCGUCUCACCAAGACGUCGCGUGCGUGAUUUCUGACAUCGUAAAGAGGAGAUCGAUCCGAGUUGGGUCGCAUGGAAAUUCUAUGCGCGCCCUUCACUAUCUCCAGAUCAUUUCGGCGCUCGCUGAUCGCAAGAUCAACGGGUUGUAAAUGACCUCGUUAGCGAAGCUUGACCGCCUCGCUAUCGGUUCGAUCUUACGAA